rnacentral:rRNA from 1 species
CCUACGGGAGGCAGCAGUCGGGAAUUUUGCGCAAUGGACGAAAGUCUGACGCAGCAACGCCGCGUGAGGGAUGACGGCCUUCGGGUUGUAAACCUCUUUUGUCAGGGACGAUGAUGACGGUACCUGACGAAUAAGCCACGGCUAACUACGUGCCAGCAGCCGCGGUAAU